AUGAACGCUAGCUACAGGCUUAACACAUGCAAGUCGAGGGGCAGCAUGGUCUUAGCUUGCUAAGGCCGAUGGCGACCGGCGCACGGGUGAGUAACACGUAUCCAACCUGCCGUCUACUCUUGGACAGCCUUCUGAAAGGAAGAUUAAUACAAGAUGGCAUCAUGAGUCCGCAUGUUCACAUGAUUAAAGGUAUUCCGGUAGACGAUGGGGAUGCGUUCCAUUAGAUAGUAGGCGGGGUAACGGCCCACCUAGUCUUCGAUGGAUAGGGGUUCUGAGAGGAAGGUCCCCCACAUUGGAACUGAGACACGGUCCAAACUCCUACGGGAGGCAGCAGUGAGGAAUAUUGGUCAAUGGGCGAGAGCCUGAACCAGCCAAGUAGCGUGAAGGAUGACUGCCCUAUGGGUUGUAAACUUCUUUUAUAAAGGAAUAAAGUCGGGUAUGGAUACCCGUUUGCAUGUACUUUAUGAAUAAGGAUCGGCUAACUCCGUGCCAGCAGCCGCGGUAAUACGGAGGAUCCGAGCGUUAUCCGGAUUUAUUGGGUUUAAAGGGAGCGUAGAUGGAUGUUUAAGUCAGUUGUGAAAGUUUGCGGCUCAACCGUAAAAUUGCAGUUGAUACUGGAUAUCUUGAGUGCAGUUGAGGCAGGCGGAAUUCGUGGUGUAGCGGUGAAAUGCUUAGAUAUCACGAAGAACUCCGAUUGCGAAGGCAGCCUGCUAAGCUGCAACUGACAUUGAGGCUCGAAAGUGUGGGUAUCAAACAGGAUUAGAUACCCUGGUAGUCCACACGGUAAACGAUGAAUACUCGCUGUUUGCGAUAUACAGCAAGCGGCCAAGCGAAAGCGUUAAGUAUUCCACGGGGAGUACGCCGGCAACGGUGAAACUCAAAGGAAUUGACGGGGGCCCGCACAAGCGGUGGAGUAUGUGGUUUAAUUCGAAGCAACGCGAAGAACCUUACCAGGUCUUGACAUCCGACUAACGAGGUAGAGAUACGUUAGGUGCCCUUCGGGGAAAGUUGAGACAGGUGGUGCAUGGUUGUCGUCAGCUCGUGCCGUGAGGUGUCGGCUUAAGUGCCAUAACGAGCGCAACCCUUGUUGUCAGUUACUAACAGGAUUUGCUGAGGACUCUGACAAGACUGCCAUCGUAAGAUGUGAGGAAGGUGGGGAUGACGUCAAAUCAGCACGGCCCUUACGUCCGGGGCUACACACGUGUUACAAUGGGGGGUACAGAGGGCCGCUACCACGCGAGUGGAUGCCAAUCCCCAAAACCUCUCUCAGUUCGGACUGGAGUCUGCAACCCGACUCCACGAAGCUGGAUUCGCUAGUAAUCGCGCAUCAGCCACGGCGCGGUGAAUACGUUCCCGGGCCUUGUACACACCGCCCGUCAAGCCAUGGGAGCCGGGGGUACCUGAAGUGCGUAACCGCGAGGAGCGCCCUAGGGUAAAACUGGUGACUGGGGCU
rnacentral:rRNA from 1 species